AGUGGUAAAACUCAUGUAUCUACUCGAGUAAUGGGAACAUAUGGCUAUGCUGCCCCAGAAUAUGUGAUGACUGGACAUUUGACCUCAAAGAGUGAUGUCUACAGUUUUGGAGUAGUUUUGCUUGAAAUGCUGACUGGCCGAAGAUCUAUGGACAAAAACCGCCCAAAUGGGGAGCACAACCUUGUUGAAUGGGCAAGACCUCAUUU
rnacentral:misc_RNA from 1 species